rnacentral:lncRNA from 1 species
GUCAUUUGCCUUCUGCAUACAAGAAAACUGAGGACUAAGGAUAUUAUGAGAUCUGCCAAGGGUAGUUUUGAUAUAUACAGUUGUGAUAUUAUAAAUAAAUAAAUAUAUAUAUUUAUUUUUAUAUAUAUAGGUUUUCAUCCACGGUUCCUGGCUCAUAACUCCUGCAGCCCUUGGUGUAGUCUUUUGUUAUAAUGUUGGGGUGCUUUAGGCCUCAGGAGCAGGCCUCAGGAAACAGAAUCUCUCUCUCUAACCUUCUUCUGUCCUCCUUUUACCUGCCCAAGGGAGGCCUCUAAUAUGAUUGCCGGUUAAAAGACCCUCAUUCCAGAAAGGGUCCCUCCCCAUAUUCUGAAAGAAAAAAUGCUGCACAAGAAGCCAGGAAGAAUCUGGACAGACAGGCCUUGCUGGGUUUCCCACUCAUGAGAUCAUGUUCUUUUGUCCAAUCACAUUUCUACACAGGGUCAAUAGUGCCUAUGUAAUGAAGCCUCCAUAAAAACCCAAAAGGACAGCACUUAGAGAGCUUCCAGAUAGCCGAACAUAUGGGUGCUCCUGGAAGGUAGAGUGCCCAGGAAGGACAUGGAGACUCUCUACUCCUUCCCCCAUACCUUGCCCUACACAUCUCUUCAUUGGCACGGUGGCUCACGCCUGUAAUCGCAGCACUUUGGGAGACCAAAGCAGAUGAAUCACCUGAGGUCAAGAGUUCAAGACCAGCCUGGCCAACACGAAAGAAGCUCUCACAGUGGAAGACUAUAAUAUGACAUAAGAAGAAAUGUGGACUUGGAGAUACAGAAGACAGGGUCUCAUUCCUGUUGCUCAGGCUGGAGUACAGUGGCAUGAUCUUGGCUCACUGCAGCUUCGACCUCCCGGGCUCAGGUGAUUCUCCCACCUCAGCCUCCCAAGCAACUGGAACUACCCAGCUAGUCCUACCAUGACCGGUUAGUUUUUUGUAUUUUUAAUAGAGACAUGGUUUCACCACAUUGCCCAGGCUAGUCCUGAACUCCCGGACUCAAGCAGUCCACCCACCUAGGCCUCCUAAAGUGCUAGAAUUACAGGCGUGAGCCACUGUGCCCAGCCUGUUACAUCUACAUUAGAUAUAUACAUAUAUAAUUAUUUAUAUAUUUUAUAUAUGUAAUUAUUUCCUAAUGAAAUAACAGACAACAUGGUAAUCAAACAAGGAAAGAAAGAAGUAUAUGUGAAAGUAUAAAAACCCUCAGAAAACACAUCAGAUGAGUCAGUAAAACUAGUUGUGAAUAGUCACACAUGCCUGUAAUCCCAGCUACUUGGAAGGCUGAGGUAGGAGGAUUGCUUGAGCUCAGGAGUUUGAGACCAGCCUGGGCAACACGCAUGACACCAUCUCAAGAAAAAAAAAAUUGUUGUGGAAUACC